GGUCUGCCAGUACUCUGUCAGUAAGUGGAAUUAUCUCAUUAUUUUACUUGAGCAAGAGACACUUGUUUACUUGCAGAGCAUUUUAAAUUGGCAACUGCCCAAAAGAUUCAAUAACAAUAAUAUAACUAUGCCACGCAGAUAAGAAAAAGUAAAUAUAGCCUUUAGGGAACAAACUGUAUACUAGUUCAUGUGUAUUUUAACACCUUGAUAAAUGCUUUGUUAGUUUAGACAAUUCCACAUGUUAAUGUACAUGCCUCCAAGCUAAGAGUGGGUCCUUGUUAGCGUUCCUAGCCUAAAGUAGUGUAUGGCUACUCUAAGCAUGCUUUUGUGUUUGUGGAUGUGAUGCUGCAUGAUGUUUAGAAAUCAGCAGCUGAAAGGAGUGGGUCCUGUCCUGCUUGUGAGAGAGACCAGGUGCAGCAGUCACCAUGAGCUUUGCCAUCUGUGUGUGUGCGCUAUCCGCAGCGAUGCUGAUGAUGGGUGAAUUCACAAUGGCACAAGUAACAAUGAUGUCAAGUACAACAACUCUACAACACUCUACGGCAACAACAUCUCCAGAGGCACCACCUGACACCCAACCUUCUCCAGGAGCAACAGAAAGUCCAACAUCUUCAAUUCUUGAACCAACUGAAGCAACAACUUCAGUAUCAACAGCAGCAACAGCAGCAAAAGCAGCAACGACUGCAGCAUAUCCACCGAGUACACCAGAUAAAUCAACAUUUAUACCCAAUG